rnacentral:rRNA from 1 species
GCAAUCCUGGUGGCGAGUGGCGAACGGCUGAGUAAUAUAUCGGAACGUGCCCAGUCGUGGGGGAUAACGCAGCGAAAGCUGUGCUAAUACCGCAUACGAUCUCUGGAUGAAAGCGGGGGACUCGCAAGGGCCUCGCGCGAUUGGAGCGGCCGAUAUCAGAUUAGCUAGUUGGUGGGGUAAAAGCUCACCAAGGCGACGAUCUGUAGCUGGUCUGAGAGGACGACCAGCCACACUGGAACUGAGACACGGUCCAGACUCCUACGGGAGGCAGCAGUGGGGAAUUUUGGACAAUGGGCGCAAGCCUGAUCCAGCAAUGCCGCGUGCAGGAUGAAGGCCUUCGGGUUGUAAACUGCUUUUGUACGGAGCGAAAAGGCUUCUCCUAAUACGAGGGGCUCAUGACGGUACCGUAAGAAUAAGCACCGGCUAACUACGUGCCAGCAGCCGCGGUAAUACGUAGGGUGCGAGCGUUAAUCGGAAUUACUGGGCGUAAAGCGUGCGCAGGCGGUUUUGUAAGACAGAUGUGAAAUCCCCGGGCUCAACCUGGGACCUGCAUUUGUGACUGCAAGGCUAGAGUACGGUAGAGGGGGAUGGAAUUCCGCGUGUAGCAGUGAAAUGCGUAGAUAUGCGGAGGAACACCGAUGGCGAAGGCAAUCCCCUGGACCUGUACUGACGCUCAUGCACGAAAGCGUGGGGAGCAAACAGGAUUAGAUACCCUGGUAGUCC